GGCACUGGGAGGCUUUUGGGAGUUACUGGGAGUUACUGGGAGGCAUUCAGGGGUUACUGGGAGUCACUGGGAGGCGUUCAGGGAUUACUGGGAGGUGUUGAGGAGUUACUGGGUGGGUUUUGGGCUUUACUGGGAGUUACUGGGAGGUGCUGAGGGGUUACUGGGAGGUGUUGAGGGGUUACUGGGAGGGUUUUGGGCUUUACUGGGAGUCACUGGGAGGCGUUCAGGGGUUACUGGGAGGCAUCUGAGGGCUACUGGGUCUUACUGGGAGUCACUGGGAGGUUUCUAGGCUUUACUGGGAAUCACUGGGAGGGUUUUAGAGAUUACUGGGAGUCACUGGGACAGUUUUAGGGGCUACUGGGGGGCAUUGAGAGGUUUGUAGGGGGUGCUGGGGCUUACUGGGAGUCACUGGGAACUCUGUACGGUUACUGGGACACAACUGGGAGUUACUGGGAACUCUGUACGGUUACUGGGGCUUACUGGGAGUUACUGGGAACUCUGUACGGUUACUGGGGCUUACUGGGAGUCA